AGGAUAUGGUCGGUACGUUUCUACCUGCAGAAUGACUGAAAUACUCAUGACGUCACUAUAAUCGAACGACCUGAAUAUACUAAUUGCAAAAUAACGAUACUGCAAUCAUUUCAAAAAAUUGGAGAAUCAUGUUGACUUCAGUCGUCUCAAGGGUGUUGAGCCUUCCAGAUCCCAUUCAAAGUAAAGCUACAUAAUUGCCAUUGGCCGUAUGCAAGACAAGCCGACCAAAGAGACAGAAAUUUACAAAUGAACGCGAAGGACGUCUCGUGGCGUCUCUCGGUAAAGAAAUCAGCAAAUCUACACAAAAGCUCUUCUAACUUAUGACCUUGCGAAACGUGAUCUGAAAUUGGCGCGGCUGGCUGAAGAAGAGGAGAAAAAACAUGUUCAGGGCUGACCGGCGGUGGUCUCUGGCUGAAGAAUUUUCAAAA